rnacentral:rRNA from 1 species
CUGAUCCCCGAUCUGGACCGGCGAACAUCUUGACAUGUGUGCCUUAUUAUGUGUCGAUGGAAGGUUCUGCACCUACCAUGGUUGUAACGGGAAACGGGGAAUCAGGGUUCGAUUCCGGAGAGGGAGCCUGAGAAACGGCUACCACAUCCAAGGAAGGCAGCAGGCGCGCAAAUUACCCACUCCCGGCACGGGGAGGUAGUGACGAAAAAUAACGAUACGGGACUCAUCCGAGGCCCCGUAAUCGGAAUGAGUACACUCUAAAUCCUUUAACGAGGAUCAAUUGGAGGGCAAGUCUGGUGCCAGCAGCCGCGGUAAUUCCAGCUCCAAUAGCGUAUAUUAAAGUUGUUGCGGUUAAAAAGCUCGUAGUCGAAUCUGUGUCCCGCGCCGCCGGUUCAUCGCUCGCGGUGUUUAACUGGCGUGUCGCGGGACGUCCUGCCGGUGGGCUUAGCCUCCGCAGGGGGCGGCCCAACUUCAAAUCCCACC